rnacentral:tRNA from 1 species
GGGGUCAUAGCUCAGAUGGCUAGAGCGCCUGUCUUGCACACAGGAGGUCAUGGGUUCAAAUCCCAUUGAUUCCAC